rnacentral:rRNA from 1 species
AGGCAAGGAAUUAAAGGUUCACGGGGGAUGCCUAGGCACCAAGAGCCGAUGAAGGACGUAGUAAGGCGACGAAACGCCUCGGUCAGCUGCCUAACAAGCUUAACCGGGGGUGUCCGAAUGGGGAAACCCGUCUCGAUGAAUAAUCGAUUCACUUCGAAUGUAUUUGGAGUUCGAAGAGGUAAGUGGGAGAACUGAAACAUCUAAGUACCCCGAGGAAAAUAAAGCAACCGCGAUUCCCUUAGUAGUGGCGAGCGAACGGGGAACAGCCCAAACCAGUUGGUCUUAGUGGACCGGUGUCCUACGUCCAAUUGGGGUUGUAAGGCACGUCAUGGAAGGUCGCCGGGCCGACCACGGCAUAAGGUAGAUCUAGUCGAAAGUUCUGGAAAGAACUGCCGUAGAAGGUGAAAGCCCCGUAGGCGAAAGAUCUGCAUGAGUUGGACGUGACCUUGAGUACCACGGGACACGGGAAAUCCUGUGGGAAGCAGGGGGGACCACCCUCCAAGGCUAAAUACUCUUGGUGACCGAUAGUGUACUAGUACCGUGAGGGAAAGGUGAAAAGAACCCCGGGAGGGGUGUGCAAUAGACCUGAAACCGUGAACUUACAAACCGUCGGAGCCUUGUUUAUCAGGGUGACGGCGUGCCUAUUGAAGAAUGAUCCUGGGAGUUUUUCUCAGUGGCAUGGUUAAGGAAUCAGAGGUUCCGGAGCCGAAGCGAAAGCGAGUCUGAAUAGGGCGCGAGUCGCUGGGAACAGACCCGAAACCGAGUGAGCUAUCCAUGGCCAGGGUGAAGGUUCACUAAACCGAACUGGAGGCCCGAACUCAAGAGCGGUGCAAAGCUCUGGGAUGAGCUGUGGAUAGAGGUGAAAUGCCAAUCGAACUCGGAGAUAGCUGGUUCUCCCCGAAAUGCAUUGAGGUGCAGCGUCGGGAGUUUCCUUCUGGAGGUAGAGCUCUGGAUGGGUCAGGGGGCGCGAGCUUACCGAUCCCAACCAAACUACGAAUGCCAGUAAGGUUAGAUCCCGGCAGUGAGACAGUGGGGGAUAAGCUCCAUUGUCAAAAGGGAAACAGCCCAGACCAUCGGCUAAGGUCCCUAAGGUUAACUUAGUGGGCAAGGAAGUGGGGUUCCCCAAACAGCCAGGAGGUUGGCUUAGAAGCAGCCACCCUUUAAAGAGUGCGUAAUAGCUCACUGGUCGAGGGGCCCUGCGCCGACAAUGUAACGGGGCUCAAGUUAGCCACCGAAGCCGUGGGAGUCAGCUUUUUGCUGGCUCGGUAGGGGAGCGUUCCCAUACCGCUGAAGCUCAGCCGUAAGGCGAAGUGGAGGUGUGGGAAGUGAGAAUCCAGGAAUGAGUAGCGUUAACUCCGGUGAAAACCCGGAGCACCGAAAGCCCAAGGUUUCCUACGCAACGUCAGUCGGCGUAGGGUUAGGCGGGCCUAAGCCGUAGCCUAAAGGCGAAGGCGAUGGACAGUGGGUCAAUAUUCCCACCCCAUCUGUACUGCGUUAUGAACUUGAAGGGGACACAGCAAGGUAAGCGGAUCGCGUGGUUGGUUUGCGCGUCACUUGCCGUGGUUGCUCCGGCCUUUGGUCGGAGUCAAUGAGAGCAGGGGGAACUGCGAUUUCGGUCGUGGAACUCCGCUGACCCUAUUCUGUCAAGAAAAGCUUUUCAAGUCAGUACUACAGAUGCCCGUACCGCAAACCGCCACUGGUGGGCAGGGAUAAGCAUCCCAAGGUGUACGAGAGAACCCUCGUUAAGGAACUAGGCAAAUUAACCCCGUAACUUAGGGAGAAGGGGUGCCCUCGAGGUAACAGCCCUAGCGGCUACAGCCUUUGAGGGUCGCAGCGCAGCGGACCAGGCGACUGUUUACCAAAAACACAGGUCUCUGCUAAGGGGAAACCCGAAGUAUAGGGGCUGACGCCUGCCCAGUGCCGGAAGGUUAAGGGGAAAGGUUAUCAAGUGGCUUGCCACAAGAGAAGCUUUGAACCGAAGCCCCGGUGAACGGCGGCCGUAACUAUAACGGUCCUAAGGUACCGAAAUCCCUUGUCGGGUAAGUUCCGACCCGCAGGAAAGGCGUAACGGUUCUGGUCACUGUCUCAACGAGGGACUCGGCGAAAUUGCAGGGCCCGUGCAGAUGCGGGCUACUCGCUGCAGGACAAAAAGACCCCGUGGAGCUUUACUGCAGGCUGGCACUGGACUGGGGUUCGUGAUGUGUAGGAUAGGCGGGAGGCUAGGAACUUCUCACGCCAGUGAGGAGGGAGCCGUUGUUGAAAUACCGCUCUUCUCGAAUUUUGGCUCUAACUCCGGCGCCACCGGAGGACCCUGCCAGUUGGGCAGUUUGACUGGGGCGGUCGCCUCCUAAAGAGUAACGGAGGCGUCCAAAGGUCCCCUCAAGGUGGAUGGAAAUCACCUGUGGAGUGCAUGGGUAUAAGGGGGCUUGACUGCGAGGCCUACAAGCCGAGCAGGGACGAAAGUCGGGCCAAGUGAUCCUACGAUUCCGUGUGGAAGGGUCGUGGCUUAUCGGACAAAAGCUACCCCGGGGAUAACAGGCUGAUCCUGCCUAAGAGUUCACAUCGAUGGCAGGGUUUGGCACCUCGAUGUCGGCUCGUCGCAUCCUGGGGCUGCAGCAGGCCCCAAGGGUCCGGCUGUCCGCCGGUUAAAGCGGUACGCGAGCUGGGUUCAGAACGUCGUGAGACAGUUCGGUCUCUAUCCGCAGCGGGCGUUGGAAGUUUGAAGGGAGCUCUCCCUAGUACGAGAGGACCGGGAGGGACAGCCCUCUGGUGUACCGGUUGUCGCACCAGCGGCAUAGCCGGGUAGCUACGGCUGGAAGGGAUAAGCGCUGAAAGCAUCUAAGUGCGAAGCCCCCCCUUAGAUUAGACUUCCCACUCUCAACUUGUUGAGAGUUAAGGUCACAGGAAGACUACCUGUUUGAUAGGCCGCUGGUGUAAGCCUCGUAAGGGGUGUAGCUGAGCGGUACUAAUCGACCGAACGCCUUACCUAC